UUGGAGAAGAGCAGAGGUUGCAGAAAUUUGAUAGAUGAAAGGAGGCGGAAGAGGGAGAGAGAGAAAAAGUCUCCUGGGUUGGAUUUCUAUUUUGGGGCAGAUUCCAAUUUUUGUAGCACCUUCAUUAUUGAUGAAUUGCUUGUACUUUUGUCCAUUAUGAAAUUUGGGACUUUGGCUUGUUGUUGGAUCUAUUAUAAUAUGUUUGAGAACAUAUAUAAGUGAAUAAGUAAGAAGGAAAAUUUUGGGCCCUUGUGGGUGUAAAACAAAAAAUGUUUAUGUUUACCCAAGUGUUUUUGUACAAGUUCAAGGGCAUCUUGGGUUUUGUGAACAAUAUUUGUUUAUUUGGAGCAAGGUUUUGUGUUGAAGCUUUGUAGGUGAAGCUUUGGUGUUGAAGCUUUGUGGGUGAAGCUUUGGAGGUGAAGCUUUUCGGGUGAAGCUUGUUGGGUGAAGCUUUUUAGGUGAAGCUUUGUGGGUGAAGCUUUUUAGGUGAAGCUUUUCGGGUGAAGCUUUUUGGGUGAAGCUUUUUUAGGUUGAAGCUUUUCGGGUGAAGCUUUUGGGUGAAGCUUUUGGGUGAAGCUUUUUAGGUGAAGCUUUGAUGGUGAAGCUUUUUGGGUGAAGCUUUUUAGGUGAAGCUUUUUGGGUGAAGCUUUUUAGGUGAAGCUUUGAUGGUGAAGCUUUUUGGGUGAAGCUUUUUAGGUGAAGCUUUGUGGGUGAAGCUUUGUGGGUGAAGCUUUGAUGGUGAAAGUAUGUAGAGGGAGCUUUCUAGGUGAAGAUUUUUUAGGUGAAGCUUUGUAGGUGAAGCUUUUUUAAGUGAAGCUUUUCGGGUGAAGCUUUUUAGGUGAAGCUUUGUGGGUGAAGCUUUUUAGGUGAAGCUUUGUGGGUGAAGCUUUGGAGGUGAAGCUUUUCGGGUGAAGCUUUUUAGGUGAAACUUUGGAGGUGAAGCUUUUCGGGUGAAGUUUUUUGGAUGAAGCUGUUUUUUUUUUUUUUUUUUUUUUUUUUUUUUUUUGGCGCUUGACACGAUCUUCAUUUGCUUGUUUUGUAGUGACUGUGGAAGACGGAUUGCUUUCUGAUUGA
rnacentral:lncRNA from 1 species